UACGUAGGGGGCGAGCGUUGUCCGGAUUUAUUGGGCGUAAAGAGCGUGUAGGCGGCUUUACAGGUCCGUUGUGAAAACUCGAGGCUCAACCUCGAGACGCCGGUGGAAACCGUAAGGCUAGAGUCCGGAAGAGGAGAGUGGAAUUCCUGGUGUAGCGGUGAAAUGCGCAGAUAUCAGGAAGAACACCCGUGGCGAAGGCGGUUCUCUGGGACGGUACUGACGCUGAGACGCGAAAGCGUGGGGAGCGAACAGG
rnacentral:rRNA from 1 species